rnacentral:rRNA from 1 species
GACGAACGCUGGCGGCGUGCUUAACACAUGCAAGUCGAACGGAAAGGCCCUGCUUUUGUGGGGUGCUCCAGUGGCGAACGGGUGAGUAACACGUGAGUAACCUGCCCUUGACUUUGGGAUAACUUCAGGAAACUGGGGCUAAUACCGGAUAGGAGCUCCUGCUGCAUGGUGGGGGUUGGAAAGUUUCGGCGGUUGGGGAUGGACUCGCGGCUUAUCAGCUUGUUGGUGGGGUAGUGGCUUACCAAGGCUUUGACGGGUAGCCGGCCUGAGAGGGUGACCGGCCACAUUUGGACUGAGAUACGGCCCAGACUCCUACGGGAGGCAGCAGUGGGGAAUAUUGCACAAUGGGCGGAAGCCUGAUGCAGCAACGCCGCGUGCGGGAUGACGGCCUUCGGGUUGUAAACCGCUUUCGCCUGUGACGAAGCGUGAGUGACGGUAAUGGGUAAAGAAGCACCGGCUAACUACGUG